GAAUCUGUUGCGCAACGGUAGCGCGUCUGACUCCAGAUCAGAAGGUUGCGUGUUCGAAUCACGUCAGGGUCA
rnacentral:tRNA from 1 species